ensembl:snRNA U6 U6 spliceosomal RNA
GCUGUUUUGGGUAGCGGGCGAUAAUUGAAAAUGAUAUGGAGAAAAUUAGCAUGGACUCUUCUCAAGGAUGACACUCCAACUUGUGAAGCAUUCCAUAUUUUG